rnacentral:ncRNA from 1 species
AUUAAGUUUGAUUCUUGCUUGGAUUUCUAUUAUUAUAAUUAGAGAGUAUAUGUAAGUUUUUGUGGGAAAGAUAUGAAGGAAUUAAAUAUUUUUUGUGAAGUUCUUGAGCAAAGGCUUUAAAGGAUUAGGGCACAGUACAAAAUAUUAAAAUAUUGAGGAGGAGCUUGAUUUGGUGAAUUAUAAAGAGGUCUGAUUAAAUUUUGUGCCAGCAGUCGCGGUUAAACUUAAAGAUUGAAUAGAAAUUUGUAGGUUAAAGUUAUUUUGGUUCAUAAUUUAUUUUUGUCUGUAGUAGUAAAGGGUGAAAUUAAUUGUUAUGAUGAGAUUAAAGAGAAUUUUGAAAUUUGAAGAAGCUUAAAAGGUUAGGGCAUAAACUGGGAUUAGAUACCCUAUUAUACUUAAAGUAAAUUGAUUGAAGCCUGAUUAUUAAUAGAUACGUUCUUGAAAUUCAAGGGAUUUGGCGGUAUUUUAGUCUAGUUAGAGGAACCUGUUUCGUAAAUGAUGCUGCACGUAAUAUCUUACUAACUUUUGUUUGAAAGUUUGUAUACCUCCAUUAUUAGAUAACUUUUAUAGAAAUAGUUAUUGAGAAUAAAAUUUUUAAAUAUAUUAGGUCAAGGUGCAGCUUAUAAGGAUAGGGAGAAUGGGUUACAAUAAAAUUUAUUUAAAUGGAUUGAUGAAGGAAGAGGUAGUUAUCAUGAAGGAGGAUUUAAUUGUAAUGGAUUUUUAAUAAGAGUCAAUGAGAAAAGUACUAAAUUAUGUACAUAUUGCCCGUCGCUUUCAUUUAAGGUGGAAUAAGUCGUAACAUAGUAAGUGUACUGGAAAGUGCUCUUAGAAAUAA